AAUAGGGCGAUGCAAGCAGUUGCUGGGUGAACUCCGCCAGGUCCGGAAGGAAGCAACGGUAGCCAAAGCGCUGCUGUGCAUUUAGCCCUAUUGCC
rnacentral:SRP_RNA from 1 species